UACGUAGGGUGCAAGCGUUGUCCGGAAUUAUUGGGCGUAAAGAGCUCGUAGGCGGUUUGUCGCGUCUGCUGUGAAAACCCGAGGCUCAACCUCGGGCCUGCGGUGGGUACGGGCAGACUAGAGUGCGGUAGGGGAGAUUGGAAUUCCUGGUGUAGCGGUGGAAUGCGCAGAUAUCAGGAGGAACACCAAUGGCGAAGGCAGAUCUCUGGGCCGUAACUGACGCUGAGGAGCGAAAGCAUGGGGAGCGAACAGG
rnacentral:rRNA from 1 species